UUCCUACGGGGGGCAGCAGUGGGGAAUUUUGGACAAUGGGCGCAAGCCUGAUCCAGCCAUUCCGCGUGAGUGAAGAAGGCCUUCGGGUUGUAAAGCUCUUUCGGCAGGAACGAAACGGUGGGGGCUAAUAUCCCUUGCUAAUGACGGUACCUGAAGAAGAAGCACCGGCUAACUACGUGCCAGCAGCCGCGGUAAUACGUAGGGUGCGAGCGUUAAUCGGAAUUACUGGGCGUAAAGCGUGCGCAGGCGGUUUGGUAAGACAGAUGUGAAAUCCCCGGGCUUAACCUGGGAACUGCGUUUGUGACUGCAAGACUCGAGUGCGGCAGAGGGGGGUGGAAUUCCACGUGUAGCAGUGAAAUGCGUAGAGAUGUGGAGGAACACCGAUGGCGAAGGCAGCCCCCUGGGUCGACACUGACGCUCAUGCACGAAAGCGUGGGUAGCAAACAGGAUUAGAUACCCUGGUAGUCCU
rnacentral:rRNA from 1 species